CCAUCGGCCCUUUUCAGGGCCAUCAUUUUAGUAAAAAAGAGUAAA
rfam:Aedes aegypti strain Liverpool supercont1.167 genomic scaffold, whole genome shotgun sequence.